rnacentral:lncRNA from 1 species
ACUCAUUGUCUUUCCUCUUGACCCCUACCCCUUCCAAACUGCCCUUUUACCAUAGAGAGGAGUACUCUUUCCCCAGUCCCUGAGGCUUGUAAUCCUUGUAUUCAAUCUCUUGCCAAGAAUUGUCAAUUUUAUCAUUGUCAUAUCUCUGGAAUAUGCCUCUUUCUUUCUACAGUUUCAGACUAUUGCAGUAUUGUGUUGGUGGGUGUCCCUGACUCAGAUCUCUCUCUACUCCAACUUAUUCUCCAUUUGGUCACAUAAGUGAUUUCUUAAAACACAAUUAUAACCAUGACAUUCCCCUACUCAUUAUACUCCAGUGGCCCCCUAUUAUCAUGAGCCUUAAAUACAAAAUACACAGGAAGUGAUGUAAAGAACUGCCAUUAUAUUUCAUGUCACUUCCUGUGAGAGGGACUUUGGCAGUGGAACUUGACUUGGAGGAGCUCAACUGUGAGACCUCAGACUGCUUCCCUGAGAUGAUCACGUGGCGAAUGAAGGAAGAAGGAGAAAAGAAGACAAAGAAGAAGAAAAAGAAGAAGAAGAAAAGAAGAAGGAAAAAGAAGAAGAAGAAGAAGAAGAAGAAGAAGAAGAAGAAGAAGAAGAAGAAGGUGUUAUAUUUUGUUCUGCCUUCAUACUCUAUCAGUUCUUUUUCUGAAGGCAGAUAACAUUUUUAUCAUGAGUCUCUGGAUCAUUAUAUUGCAUAGAAUAAGGAGGUCAUUCACAGUUGUUCAUCAAAAAGUAUUGUUUUUAUUAUGUACAAUGUUCUCUUUUCUAUUCAUUUUGCAUCAGUUCAUCUAAGUAUUUCCAAGUUUUUUCUUUAUGAAAUAAUCUUGCUUGUCAUUUCUUAUGGCAUAAUAGUAUUCUAUUAUAAUCAUAUCCCACAACUUAUUCACCUAUUCUCCAUUUUCCUCAUUUUCCAAUUCUUUGCUACCACAUAGAGAGCUGCGAUAACUAUUUUUGUAUAAAUAGGUCCUUUUCUCUCUUUUUAAAACAUCUUUGGGAUACAUAUAUAGAAAUGUCUAUAUCAAAGGGUAUGUAUAGUUUUAGAGCCCUUUGGGCAUAGUUUCAAAUUGUACUUAAGAAUGAUUGGAUCAUAAGAAAUGAUGAAUAGAAUGUUUUCAGAAAGAGCUGGAAAGACCUAUCUGAACUGAUAAAGAAUAAAAAAAUCAGAACUAGGAGAACA